UUUGUUUUUUUUUUUUUUAAUGAAAACUGGGUUUCUCCCUGAAAGAGGAUUAAUUUUUAUGAAAAGAAUGAAUAUGGUUUUAACCAAUGAGAAAGCAAGACUGCUAGGAAAGGUUUUGACCAACCUGGGACCAGCCUUCUCAUUAUAGAAAUAUGGGAUGGAAAUUGGAUAUAAGAGAUUAGAGCUUUCUCUACAAGCCAAGGAAACAGUAGGGAAAACAAUAUUCAUUUAUGUCAGGAAGGUUUUAGGGACACCACAGGCUCUGCAUGCGUUACUUAGCAGCCUGGUAACACACCAAAUCCUGUGGUGGUUCCUAACAUCUGCCACACCAGGGUUAGACCUCUUUCUUUCAAUAGCAGAUGAAAAGUCUUCAGUGUUGUACAAAGCGCAGCAUCAGCCAGAGUGCUUGUUUCCACACAAGUUUAUGAUGAAACUGUGUGUCCAGCCCACAGGAAAACCCAGUCAAUUUUAGUAUUGGUCUGAAAGAGACCUGAAAGAUGAAGACCUCAGCUUUAACAAGCUUUGGUGGUUGCUGCCCACUCUUCUUGAUGGAGCUAUUCCAUCUUGAGGGAGAACUGCAUUUUAAGUACCUGUUCCCACGUCUGUUGAUUAUAUUAAAUACCUAAUAUAUGGAACUGGAGACUUAUUUUCUGGUCAUGGGACUGCACGAGGUCAAUUCCAUUUAUAAACUGCUAAGCCCUUGGUUUGGUAUGCCAGGAACAAAAAUAUCUAAAGGAGAAACUAUAUUUGUAAGUCCUGAAAGAUAAGGCCCCAUCUUUGAAAUCCAGUCAGAAGAACUUUUUAAUAACUACAAAACACCCCUCACAAAAGCAUAUUUAUUUUCCCCUAGUUCACUGCUAUCAGAUUGUCACUAUUGUGUGUUAUUGUCACAUUUCCCCCCCACCAUUGGUUGUGUCAAUACUUUUAUUGUUCAUAAGUUUUUUGUCUUUGAAUGAAUAAUAAGAGCACAUUCUGAUGUUCUUGAUUGUUCUUUUGACCCAAGUAUAUUUACUUUGUGAAACUCCCAAGCUUUUCUCUCUAAGAAUGUUUUUUAUUGAUUUAUCCUUUAAAACUAUGAAGAUUUUUAUGACAGUGAGGCUUGAAGCUCCUAUCAUUAAUUUUAAAAGUUUAAUUGAAAUUAAUCUUAAUUAAAGUUAUAUUUUAUAAUUAAAAUUAAUUUUAUAACAAUAUACAUGCUUAACUCCAAGUAUGGGGCUCAGCACAGCUACGGGUUGCUCAAUGGACUAAUAGCAAUGCAGCUACAAACUUUGUUAGCUUCCACAUAGUUAUCAUACCAAUCAACACCAGAAUAAUUAAAUUCAUCCAUUAUCAAAUUCUAGUCUUCUUUAUCAGCUUUUCUCCCACCAGUAAUUUUGUUGUCUUAAUCUGGUUUCUUCCCUGAAAUCUAUGGCAAUCUUGGAAUUUCACCAGAUAAUCUUCCCUUUCUUUUUCAUUAAGUUCCCUAACCCAAAUUAUUUAAUGCCAAAAUCUGAAGUCUUUAAAGAAGAUUCCACCAAAGGGAAGUUUGAUCAAACCAUAUUUUGCUUUACUAGAGACUACUAAUUUUAUCUUGUUGUGCCCUUGAAUGAAAGCCUAUACAUCCUUGUUCCUGAAUAAAACAUGCAUGAUAAAUGAAUUUAGAGAGCAUUGAAGGGCUACUGACGUUGCAUAGGAUUUUUGUAGCAUCCUAAACAGAAGGAUAUUGAAGGGAGCUGAUUCUGCUUUGAUCCUUGUGCUUGUUGUCAAAGCGCUUGGGAUUGAAGAGACUGUUGGCUACAAUUGACUGUGACAAUUAGGAGAUGAUCAGAGCCCUAGAGUGGAGCACUUAAAGGGUAAUUUACAUGUCAGUUUGUCGAAUAAAAAAAAGAUAUUCAGCUAAGAUUCCCCCCCCCCCCCCCCCCCCCCCCCCGAGCCUUUUAAACUGCAAUUUGUGCUAUAGUAAGAAAAACCUGGCAGAGGAGUUAGGAUAACCAUUUCCAUUUGAAAAGAGGCAAUCAUAAGGCCACUGCUGAGCCUAUUGUCCACUAAAAAUGCUGAUUUGCAGUCAGGGAGUGAAAGAGUGGAGACAUCACUAAAUAGAACCUUGUGCAAGGUAACUCCCCCUUGGUGGCUUUCUAAUGUUGGCUGAAGGUUUUAUACACCUUAAAUCCUGCAUUUGCUAUCAUUAUAACAUUGUUACUGAUCAUGAAUGUCCUUUAUAACAACAAAAAAAUGAAGAUAUUGAGGGGGAGGUGGGUGGAACAGAAGCCACCAGCCAGUUGAUAGGCUCACGCCAGCUAUCUAUUGUACCACAUCUUUCUUAUUCUUGUGCCUUUUGUAUGCCAACAUAAUUUUCUUGUCACACUUUGCACUUUGCCAUUUAGGCACCUUCCGUAACAGUUUUCUCAUAGGUUUUCCAUACCUAUUUACACUUCUUUUUAGACACACAUCGAGUAGACUUUAUUUUUUUAUAAUUAUUUUUUCCACGUUUAACCUCCUGAGAAAGGAAAAGAGAGAAGGAGGUGACAGUAGCCAUUCAGUUCAGAGUCUGUCUUUCUGUAGCUGUGGUGUGAUUAGGCUGUAAUAAAGAGUUUAUACACACAGGCCUGAGAGAGGGCUGAAGUUAAGACAGCUGAGUAUUAAAUAACCUUGCUUAUGAUAAGUCCUUUUUUAUAUGAUAGCUCUGAUAAACCUAGAGUUGCUUUGACAGUAGGGUUAUAUGAACUUAUAAAAAUAUCAAGAAACAACACCUCCCUCAUUAUUCUGCUUGGUGUGAGCUGUAGCAUAUGUGAUAUUCCUAACAGUUUAAAGAAGGGAUAUUAGUGGAUGCAUAUGUGGUUCCAGUGUUUGUAUAUGCAAAUAAGUGUAUUUAUUUUGAGGUUGCAUCAUAGGCUUUUCUUACAGAGAUGGCACUGACUCCUGUUUCAUCUCCCCAAGAGAAGAAAUGGUCAUGUAUUCCAGUUUAGGAACCAGAAUUAAAGGCUUUGCUUUGUCACAAUUAUGACCAAGUAGCAUUUGCUGCCCAGACAUGUACUGCCUAAAAACCCAGGGGCCACUUUUCUGGGGAAGUUUUGUGGCUUUCAGUAAGAGCCAGGCAUAUACACAACGUCUCUGAUUCUCAUCCCAGUGGCAGACCCUGGUCAAACACCACUGAUUUGAGCAGAUUUGGGAUUUCUAUUGGUGCCAGUAGGAUAAGGAUUAAGCCUUGUGUGUCCAUAGGGUCACCAAAAUGUCCUUUUCCUUAGUUAUAUGCCUUAUGUUCUUAGGAUUCUUGUAUGUUGAACACCAGACAAUAAAGUUUCUGUUUUUGAACUUGCACUACAAACAAGUUUUAACCCUGCUUUUGAUUUAUUUUUUUUUUAAUACUUCAAAAUACUUCUAAAACAUGCAGCAUUCUUCUUCAUUGUAAG